AUUGAACGCUGGCGGCAUGCUUUACACAUGCAAGUCGAACGGUAACAGGCCUUCGGGUGCUGACGAGUGGCGAACGGGUGAGUAAUGCAUCGGAACGUGCCCAGAGGUGGGGGAUAACGCAGCGAAAGCUGUGCUAAUACCGCAUGUGAUCUGAGGAUGAAAGCGGGGGACCAAGCAGCAAUGUUUGGCCUCGCGCCUCUGGAGCGGCCGAUGUCAGAUUAGGUAGUUGGUGGGGUAAAGGCCUACCAAGCCGACGAUCGGGAGCUGGUCUGAGAGGACGACCAGCCACACUGGGACUGAGACACGGCCCAGACUCCUACGGGAGGCAGCAGUGGGGAAUUUUGGACAAUGGGCGCAAGCCUGAUCCAGCAAUGCCGCGUGCGGGAAGAAGGCCUUCGGGUUGUAAACCGCUUUUGUACGGAACGAAAAGGCUCUGGCUAAUACCUGGGGCUGAUGACGGUACCGUAAGAAUAAGCACCGGCUAACUACGUG
rnacentral:rRNA from 1 species